AUAUUAUGGUUAGGUCUCUCAUUUCUUCAUCUUUAUAAAGUACUCUAAAGGAAACCCAAUAAAACCACAUGUGGAGAUUAUAUAAUGGCAUGGCCAGUCAUAGCCAAAGUAAACUUGUAGUACUCUAAGUUGGUUUUUAUUUGUAUAUUUGUAAGCUGUUUUUGAAUUACAACUACUGAUCACCUUUGAGAAUACCAUUGCUAGUAUAACUGUACAGUUCUAAUAUUAACCUAAUACAUAAAUUUCCUACAUUUAUAGGUGGGUAAUUGAAAAAUAUAUACAUGGAAAAACAUACAGCGCUUACAAACCAAAUGCAAAUAAAACUCUUUAAAAAAUCUUAGAAAUUCAUUAAGCGGGUUACGUCAAUCCUAUUAAAAAUGCUUCAUCUAUGUACAACUUUAAAAAUACUACUCCAGGAAACAAAAAUUCUUUGGUUCAGCAAAAAGAUUCUAAAUGUGGAAAUAUAAUUUGUUAAGGAUGCACCUUCUUGGGUGGGGCCUCACUCAUCUGUUUUAACACUUCAGAAAGCAGAUAACUGAUUCUCUGAAUGCUGAAAAUAUGGGUGGAGUGUGGGUAGAGGUUGCUUUUCCUAUAGAACAUCAGCAUAUGGAAAUAUAACCAGGAGCUUCAACAAUGCAGAAGCUUCAUUAAUGGAACUUUUUAAUGCAGAAGAAACGUCAUUUUUACUCUGCUAGAUCAGAAAGGUAGAAAGUCGGCUUCCUAUCCAUUUGGAAAGGAGGGUAGGAGAAUAGUCAUGAUUGACACAUAAAAACAUUCUACUAGCAAAGUUCUUAGGCACUGGCAUCCAACACUAUUGAAACAAAUCUACCCAUCAUUUGGAAGACUACAGAGGAGACAGGAGGGGACUUGAUGUCGGGUGUCCUUGUUACUGGGCAUUACUUCUCGAGCGGCUGGCCUGCCUUACAUAUCUAAAAUUAUAAAUAGUCCCAUGACUCAUACAUCUUUUUAAAAAAUUAUUAAUGCAACAGUGAUUUUGGUUUGCAUCAAUAUUUGCCAAUGGGAUUUUCAUUAAAAAUUAACUGUGUUUAUUCUAUACUCUUGGUUUAUUAAUAGCAACAGUCACAGAACUGGCCAAAAUAUCUCAGAGUCUCAAAGAGUCAACAUUUUGACCUUUUGGAAGUUUUUCUCCUCCACAGGUAAGGGGAAGUAAAAGCCUUCACAAUCUAGUUUCUGCAUAUUUUCUAAGUUGAUUGUGAAAAUAUUUAAUAUGUAAGAUAAAACUUUUCCAAAGGCCCCUCAAUUAACCACACGUUACAACCACCUCUCACAAGACUUUUGCAAAGUCUCUGAGGUACCACAGCUGGUCAC
rnacentral:lncRNA from 1 species